rnacentral:rRNA from 1 species
CCUACGGGCGGCUGCAGUAAGGAAUAUUGGUCAAUGGACGCAAGUCUGAACCAGCCAUGCCGCGUGGAGGAUGAAGGUCCUCUGGAUUGUAAACUUCUUUUAUUUGGGAAGAAACUCCCGAUUUCCAUCGGGAUUGACGGUACCAGAUGAAUAAGCACCGGCUAACUCCGUGCCAGCAGCCGCGGUAAUACGGAGGGUGCAGGCGUUAUCAGGAUUAACGGGUGUUUAAGGGGGCAGGGGAGUCAGUGGAGAAAGCUCCGGGCUUAACCCGGAAACUGCCAUUGAUACUAUUUGUCUUGAAUACUCUGGAGGUGAGCGGAAUAUGUCAUGUAGCGGUGAAAUGCUUAGAUAUGACAUAGAACACCCAUUGCGAAGGCAGCUCACUACGGAAAUAUUGACGCUGAGGCACGAAAGCGUGGGGAUCAAACAGGAUUAGAUACCCCUGUAGUC